AUGGCUCAGAUUGAACGCUAGCGGCAGGCCUAACACAUGCAAGUUGAGCGGUAGCACAAGAGAGCUUGCUCUCUGGGUGACGAGCGGCGGACGGGUGAGUAAUGUCUGGGAAACUGCCUGAUGGCGGGGAAUAACUAGUGGAAACGGUAGCUAAUACCGCAUAACGUCGCAAGACCAAAGUGGGGGACCUUCGGGCCUCACGCCAUCAGAUGUGCCCAGGUGGGAUUAGCUGGUAGGUGGGGUAACGGCUCACCUAGGCGACGAUCCCUAGCUGGUCUGAGAGGAUGACCAGCCACACUGGAACUGAGACACGGUCCAGACUCCUACGGGAGGCAGCAGUGGGGAAUAUUGCACAAUGGGCGCAAGCCUGAUGCAGCCAUGCCGCGUGUGUGAAGAAGGCCUUCGGGUUGUAAAGCACUUUCAGCGAGGAGGAAGGGUAAUGU
rnacentral:rRNA from 1 species